rnacentral:lncRNA from 1 species
AAUAUUUUUCAUCAAAUGAAACUAUAAAACAGGCGAACUCUAAAGUUGGUCUGCUCUUCAUUUUCUUAUAAUCUGUAAUCAGGAAAUCCAUUCACUCGUGCUUUAUAAUUUUUGUGCUUUUAAGUGGUCAGGGGAAUGUGACAUCUGCAUGCAGCCCCAUCCAAAUUGAUCAUCGUCCCAGGCAGAGGGUAAUUUUCAAACGUAGCAUGAAGAGAGGUGGAAUCUAUAUCUCAGAAGUUUAUUGAAGGGUAGCAUUUCCCACCUCCCGACCCUGACUUUGAAAGAGACCAUUCCGUUGGGUGAAUU